rnacentral:lncRNA from 1 species
UCCCGCCCCGGCGGCGCAGCCGCCCUGCGUGGGGCUCUUCCCGUGGCGGGCGGGCGCCCUGAGGYGGCUUCCGGUGGGGGCUGGCGGUGCCGGGGGCGCCGCGUCGCCCUCGGUCCCGGCCUUGUCCUGUGGGGACCGCAAGUUUGUCACCCGCGUGUCGUCGAGGUGUUCCGUACGGAGACAACCAGCCUAGAUCACAGUUUUGGGAAGAGAUGUCAGAGAAUGAAUGAUGAAGCAAUUUAAUAAUCAGCUUGGGUUUGCACAUGUUAAAACAACGCAGUCAUUGAGCAGGUCACCAUCUCAAGGAAAUGCUAACUCAGGUACUAUCCAGAAUAUCUACUGAUAAAUUUAAA